AAAUUAUUUUGAAACAUUCGGGAAACUCCUGAUGAACCGACUUCUCUAAAACUUCUUCACAGAGCUUGAAAACACUAGUUUUAGUAAUGCACUAGCAUUAUCCUUAUGAAACAAAGAAGCAAGUGAGAGUGAGAGACCAGAAAAACAUGAAGAAAAAGUGAGUCACGUUAUGUUGAAAUUAGUUGAUAUUAUUGACAAACCACAUGAUUCCCCAGAAGACCAGCCCACAAAUUCACAAAAAAGCGUUGCUGAAAUGCCCUCGGAAUUAAAACAUUAGCAAAAAUGCUAAUUUUUCGUACUAAAUACAAACAUUGCAACAUUCUUCUAGAUUUUUUAAUGAAAAAGCAGCCAAGGGGUUAUAGUAAGCUCAUGUGAGUGGAAGAAAACAACAAUAAAUUGUUGUUGAAAUUUUGAGGUUAGAAUUUCUACUGGGCAAUAAUGCCUAAAUACGACAGUAAAACUACAAUUUUGAUAUUAAAAUUAGUAACCUGUUUUAUUUAAGCACAAUUUCUUAUAAAAAGAACAUUUUUCUGUUAAUUUUGCAUUAAAGUAAAUAAAGAAACUUGAGUACU